AUCCAGCACACUCUCCCAUCUACUAAACAGCAACUUCAAUAUUUGCAGAUUUUAUAAAAAAAAACAAAAAAAACCGAAUAAGAUCUGCAAACAUUGAAGUUGCUGUUUAGUAGAUGGGAGAGUGCGCUGGAU
rnacentral:miRNA from 1 species